rnacentral:rRNA from 1 species
UACAGAGGGUGCAAGCGUUAAUCGGAAUUACUGGGCGUAAAGCGUGCGUAGACGGUUAUGUAAGUCAGAUGUGAAAGCCCCGGGCUCAACCUGGGAAUUGCAUUUGAGACUGCAUAGCUAGGGUGCGGAAGAGGGAAGCGGAAUUUCCGGUGUAGCGGUGAAAUGCGUAGAUAUCUGGAGGAACACCGGUGGCGAAGGCGGCAUCCUGGGCCGACACUGACGCUGAGGAGCGAAAGCCAGGGGAGCAACGGG